rnacentral:rRNA from 1 species
AUUGAACGCUGGCGGCAGGCUUAACACAUGCAAGUCGAGCGGAGAUGAGGUGCUUGCACCUUAUCUUAGCGGCGGACGGGUGAGUAAUGCUUAGGAAUCUGCCUAUUAGUGGGGGACAACAUUCCGAAAGGAAUGCUAAUACCGCAUACGUCCUACGGGAGACAGCAGGGGAUCUUCGGACCUUGCGCUAAUAGAUGAGCCUAAGUCGGAUUAGCUAGUUGGUGGGGUAAAGGCCUACCAAGGCGACGAUCUGUAGCGGGUCUGAGAGGAUGAUCCGCCACACUGGGACUGAGACACGGCCCAGACUCCUACGGGAGGCAGCAGUGGGGAAUAUUGGACAAUGGGGGGAACCCUGAUCCAGCCAUGCCGCGUGUGUGAAGAAGGCCUUAUGGUUGUAAAGCACUUUAAGCGAGAAGGAGGCUACUGAGACUAAUACUCUUGGAUAGUGGACGUUACUCGCAGAAUAAGCACCGGCUAACUACGUGCCAGCCGCCGCCGUAAGAC